rfam:Triticum aestivum genome assembly, contig: Triticum_aestivum_CS42_TGACv1_scaffold_220931_3B
CUAGUACUCCCUCCGUCUGGAAAAACUUGUCCAAGGCUUGUUCCUUAAAUGGAUGUAUCUAGCACUAACUUGGUGCUAGAUACAUCAGUUUGAGGGACAAAUUUUUCCGGACGGAGGGAGUACUUA